AGACCAAGGGAGAUUUUAUUAUCCCCCUGAAGGAUUUGUGAGGCAGGAGGGACAAGACACAACUUCAGUUUUGAGACUACUAGGAAGAAGAACAUGUCCCUGCCCUGUCAAUGACACCGAUGAAACUCUUCAGGAGCCAAACGCCAACACAGAACAGAUUGUGAGACAUGGAUUAAAGACUCAAGCCAGCUAGGUAACCAGGGAGAACAUGUGGAGCUUGCUGGCUCUGGGUCUCAAUGGCCCUCUCCCGCUCCCGUAAACUGUCUCUGUGCAGAGGCCAGCUGCCUGGCGUGCUUUACUUCUCCACAUCCCACCAUAGCACAGAGCUGAAUAUUCUGUGGGCUUCACAACCCUACACCACUCUGUGCCUUGGAAAAUAGGAGUCAGUGUUCACACAUCGAAAAUGCUAACUGCUCUUCUUUAUAAAAUCUUGUAGCUUUGUAUCUUUCCUACACUCCCAAGAGCUCAUACUUUAAAAGAGCAGGAUGGUAGGGUAGAAAUAAGCUGGUAUACACAGUCAACUGUUUUAUAUGUUACAACAGACAGUCCAAGUUAACUAUGUCUCUUCUCAUUUCUACAUACACUGUCUGAAAUGGCAAAUUAAACAGAACAUCUUGGACUACA